rnacentral:rRNA from 1 species
GACGAACGCUGGCGGCGUGCCUAAUACAUGCAAGUUGAGCGCUGAAGGUUGGUACUUGUACCAACUGGAUGAGCAGCGAACGGGUGAGUAACGCGUGGGGAAUCUGCCUUUGAGCGGGGGACAACAUUUGGAAACGAAUGCUAAUACCGCAUAUAAACUUUAAACACAAGUUUUAAGUUUGAAAGAUGCAAUUGCAUCACUCAAAGAUGAUCCCGCGUUGUAUUAGCUAGUUGGUGAGGUAAAGGCUCACCAAGGCGAUGAUACAUAGCCGACCUGAGAGGGUGAUCGGCCACAUUGGGACUGAGACACGGCCCAAACUCCUACGGGAGGCAGCAGUAGGGAAUCUUCGGCAAUGGACGAAAGUCUGACCGAGCAACGCCGCGUGAGUGAAGAAGGUUUUCGGAUCGUAAAACUCUGUUGGUAGAGAAGAACGUUGGUGAGAGUGGAAAGCUCAUCAAGUGACGGUAACUACCCAGAAAGGGACGGCUAACUACGUG